rnacentral:rRNA from 1 species
GGAGGAAAGCAGGGGAUCGCAAGACCUUGCGCUAAAGGAGCGGCCGAUGUCUGAUUAGUUAGUUGGUGGGGUAAAGGCCUACCAAGGCAACGAUCAGUAGCUGGUCUGAGAGGACGAUCAGCCACACUGGGACUGAGACACGGCCCAGACUCCUACGGGAGGCAGCAGUGGGGAAUUUUGGACAAUGGGCGAAAGCCUGAUCCAGCCAUGCCGCAUGAAUGAAGAAGGCCUUCGGGUUGUAAAGUUCUUUUAGUUGGAAAGAAAAAAUUAUGAUGAAUAAUCAUAAUUCAUGACGGUACCGACAGAAAAAGCACCGGCUAACUACGUGCCAGCAGCCGCGGUAAUACGUAGGGUGCAAGCGUUAAUCGGAAUUACUGGGCGUAAAGGGUGUGCAGGCGGCCUUGUAAGUGAGAUGUGAAAGCCCCGGGGCUUUAAAACCCCUUUU